rnacentral:rRNA from 1 species
UGGGGAAUAUUGCACAAUGGGCGGAAGCCUGAUGCAGCAACGCCGCGUGCGGGAUGACGGCCUUCGGGUUGUAAACCGCUUUCAGUAGGGACGAAGCGCAAGUGACGGUACCUACAGAAGAAGCACCGGCUAACUACGUGCCAGCAGCCGCGGUGAUACGUAGGGUGCGAGCGUUGUCCGGAAUUAUUGGGCGUAAAGAGCUUGUAGGCGGUUGGUUGCGUCGUAAGUGAAAACUCAGGGCUUAACCCUGGGCUUGCUUGCGAUACGGGCUGACUUGAGGAAGGUAGGGGAGAAUGGAAUUCCCGGUGGAGCGGUGGAAUGCGCAGAUAUCGGGAGGAACACCAGUGGCGAAGGCGGUUCUCUGGACCUUUCCUGACGCUGAGAAGCGAAAGCGUGGGGAGCAAACA